AACGAACGCUGGCGGCAUGCCUAACACAUGCAAGUCGAACGAGAUCUUCGGGUCUAGUGGCGCACGGGUGCGUAACGCGUGGGAAUCUGCCCUUUGGUUCGGAAUAACAGUUGGAAACGACUGCUAAUACCGGAUGAUGACGAAAGUCCAAAGAUUUAUCGCCAGAGGAUGAGCCCGCGUAGGAUUAGCUAGUUGGUGUGGUAAAGGCGCACCAAGGCGACGAUCCUUAGCUGGUCUGAGAGGAUGAUCAGCCACACUGGGACUGAGACACGGCCCAGACUCCUACGAGAGGCAGCAGUGGGGAACAUUGGACAAUGGGCGAAAGCCUGAUCCAGCAAUGCCGCGUGAGUGAUGAAGGCCUUGGGUUGUAAAGCUCUUUUACCCGGGAUGAUAAUGACAGUACCGGGAGAAUAAGCUCCGGCUAACUCCGUGCCAGCCGCCGCGGUAA
rnacentral:rRNA from 1 species